AGUCGAGCGAGACCUUCGGGUCUAGCGGCGGACGGGUUAGUAACGCGUGGGAAUAUACCCUUCACUACGGAAUAGCCUCGGGAAACUGGGAGUAAUACCGUAUACGCCCUUUUGGGGAAAGAUUUAUCGGUGAAGGAUUAGCCCGCGUCUGAUUAGAUAGUUGGUGGGGUAAUGGCCUACCAAGUCUACGAUCAGUAGCUGGUUUGAGAGGAUGAUCAGCAACACUGGGACUGAGACACGGCCCAGACUCCUACGGGAGGCAGCAGUGGGGAAUCUUAGACAAUGGGCGCAAGCCUGAUCUAGCCAUGCCGCGUGAGUGACGAAGGCCUUAGGGUCGUAAAGCUCUUUCGCCAGAGAUGAUAAUGACAGUAUCUGGUAAAGAAACCCCGGCUAACUCCGUGCCAGCAGCCGCGGUAAUACGGAGGGGGUUAGCGUUGUUCGGAAUUACUGGGCGUAAAGCGCACGUAGGCGGAUUGGAAAGUAUGGGGUGAAAUCCCAGGGCUCAACCCUGGAACUGCCUUGUAAACUCCCAGUCUAGAGUUCGAGAGAGGUGAGUGGAAUUCCAAGUGUAGAGGUGAAAUUCGUAGAUAUUUGGAGGAACACCAGUGGCGAAGGCGGCUCACUGGCUCGAUACUGACGCUGAGGUGCGAAAGUGUGGGGAGCAAAC
rnacentral:rRNA from 1 species